ACGUAGGGAGCGAGCGUUAUCCGGAUUUAUUGGGUGUAAAGGGUGCGUAGACGGACUUACAAGUUAGUUGUGAAAUCCCUCGGCUUAACUGAGGAACUGCAACUAAAACUGUAAGCCUUGAGUGCAGGAGAGGUAAGUGGAAUUCCUAGUGUAGCGGUGAAAUGCGUAGAUAUUAGGAGGAACACCAGUGGCGAAGGCGACUUACUGGACUGUAACUGACGUUGAGGCACGAAAGUGUGGGGAGCAAACAG
rnacentral:rRNA from 1 species